AUACGUAGGGGGCGAGCGUUGUCCGGAAUGAUUGGGCGUAAAGGGCGCGUAGGCGGCCCGGUAAGUCUGGAGUGAAAGUCCUGUUUUUAAGAUGGAAAUUGCUUUGGAUACUGUCGGGCUUGAGUGCAGGAGAGGUAAGUGGAAUUCCCAGUGUAGCGGUGAAAUGCGUAGAGAUUGGGAGGAACACCAGUGGCGAAGGCGACUUACUGGACUGUAACUGACGCUGAGGCGCGAAAGUGUGGGGAGCAAACAGGAUUAGAUACCCUGGUAGUCCACACUGUAAACGAUGAAUGCUAGGUGUAGGGGGUAUCGACCCCUUCUGUGCCGCAGUCAACACAAUAAGCAUUCCGCCUGGGGAGUACGGCCGCAAGGUUGAAACUCAAAGGAAUUGACGGGG
rnacentral:rRNA from 1 species